GAUGAACGCUGGCGGCGUGCCUAGUACAUGCAAGUCGAGCGAACGGACGAGAAGCUUGCUUCUCUGAUGUUAGCGGCGGACGGGUGAGUAACACGUGGAUAACCUACCUAUAAGACUGGGAUAACUUCGGGAAACCGGAGCUAAUACCGGAUAAUAUUUUGAACCGCAUGGUUCAAAAGUGAAAGACGGUCUUGCUGUCACUUAUAGAUAGAUCCGCGCUGCAUUAGCUAGUUGGUAAGGUAACGGCUUACCAAGGCAACGAUGCAUAGCCGACCUGAGAGGGUGAUCGGCCACACUGGAACUGAGACACGGUCCAGACUCCUACGGGAGGCAGCAGUAGGGAAUCUUCCGCAAUGGGCGAAAGCCUGACGGAGCAACGCCGCGUGAGUGAUGAAGGUCUUCGGUUCGUAAAACUCUGUUAUUAGGGAAGAACAUAUGUGUAAGCAACUGUGCACAUCUUGACGGUACCUAAUCAGAAAGCCACGGCUAACUACGUG
rnacentral:rRNA from 1 species